rnacentral:rRNA from 1 species
GCCCUGAGAUGAGUCAUCCCUGACCCCUUGAGGGUCCUAAAGGGCCGUUGGAGACCACAACGUUGAUAGGUGGGGUGUGUAAGCGCGGCGACGUGUUGAGCUAACCCAUACUAAUUACCCGUGAGGCUUAACCAUACAACACCCAAGAAGUGUUCU